AAAAAACCAAUAUUACCCUUCAUCUUCAUCUCUAAUCUUAAUCAAAUUCAAUUUUUCCCUUCUAUUCUAUAUUAUACCCCUUCCCAGAGAGCAGUUGGAGGGCUAGUCGUUCUGAAUCCGACCGGACACUGGUAAGAUCUCAUAUUAAGAAUUACCUAGUGGCGAUAAAAGUAGAGAAGAGUAACUACUUUUCUGCUCUUAUUGCAUCAUCAGAUAAUCGCCCAGCCGCCCUGUUUAGGGUGACCCGCUCCCUGCUCCACCAGGGGGCGCGGGAGGACCCCUUGGAGGGUAGAGCUGAGGAUUUUGUACAAUAUCUGUAUGACAAAAUCGCUCAGAUUCGGGAACAGCUGGACUCUGACUGGGUAGAUCCAGGGGAGAUGACAGGGGCAGGUCCUGAGAAUAUUAUAUGGGAAGAGUUUGAUCCUGUGACUCCCGAAAGCGUGGACAGGAUACUGAGCAGACUGGGUGCGGCCACAUGUUUAUUGGACCCGUGUCCCUCCUGGUUGGUACUGGCCUCCCGGGAGGUGACGCGAGGCUGGCUCCAGGGGAUUAUAAAUGCUUCUUUGAGUGAGGGUGUCUUUCCCACCGCCUUGAAAGAGGCGGUGGUGAGGCCCCUCCUCAAGAAGCCCUCCCUGGACCCGGCUGUGUUAGCAAAUUAUCGUCCUUUCACUUUGUUGCGAAGGUUGUUGAGAGUGUGGUUGCACGACAGCUGCCUCAGUACCUGGAUGAAUCGACUUAUCUAGAUCCGUUCCAGUCGGGCUUCAGGCCCAGGUACAGCACAGAGACGGCAUUGGUCGCAUUGGUUGAUGAUCUCUGGAGGGCUCGGGACAGGGGUUGCUCCUCUGUCCUGGUCCUAUUAGACCUCUCAGCGGCUUUUGAUACCAUCGACCAUGGUAUCAUGCUGCACCAGUUGGAAGGGUUGGGGGUGGGGGGCACUGUUUUACAGUGGUUCUCCUUUCUCUCUGACCGGUCACAGUCUGUGUUGACAGGGGGGCAGAGGUCGACCCCGAGGCCCCUUGUAUGUGGGGUGCCGCAAGGAUCGGUCCUCUCGCCCCUUCUGUUCAACAUUUAUGUGAAGCCGCUGGGUGAGAUCAUCCGUGGUUUUGGGGUGAAGUACCAUCAGUACGCUGAUGACACCCAGCUGUACAUCUCCACCCCAGACCACCCCAAUGAUGCCCUUGAGGUGAUGUCCCGGUGCCUGGAGGCCGUACGGAUCUGGAUGGGGAGGAACAGACUCAGGCUCAACCCAUCCAAGACCGAGUGGCUGUCGUUUCCGAUGUCCCGAUAUAGUCAGUUGGCGCCAUCUCUGACUAUUGGGGGCGAGUCGUUGGCCCCCACAGAUGAGGUUCGCAACUUGGAUGUCCUCCUGGACUCACGGCUGUCUUUAGAAGAGCAUAUGGCGGCCGUGGCCAGGAGGACUUUAUCAGGUUCGCCUGAUUCGCCAGUUGCGUCCCUUUCUGGAUCGGGACUCGUUACGCACGGUCACUCACGCCCUUGUCACCUCACGCCUGGAUUAUUGCAAUGCUCUCUACAUGGGGCUCCCCUUGAGGAGCACCCGGAGGCUCCAAUUGGUCCAGAAUGCGGCCGCGCAGGUGGUGACGGGAGCGAUGUGGCGCUCCCAUGUGACCCCCCUCCUGCGCGAGCUGCACUGGCUCCCAGUGGUCUUCCGGGUGCACUUCAAGGUUUUGGUUACCACCUUUAGAGCGCUCCAUGGCUCAGGACCAGGGUACUUACGAGACCACCUUCUGCCACCAGUAGCCUCUCACCGACCAGUUCACUCCCAUAGAGAGGGGCUCCUCAGGGUGCCGUCGGCCAAACAAUGUCAACUGGUGGCCCCCAGGGGGAGAGCCUUCUCUGUGGGGGCACCUGCCAUCUGGAACGAGCUCCCCCCGGAGAUACGGAGGAUCCAAGACUUAUGCAUCUUCCGCCGCGCCCUAAAAACGUUUUUAUUCCAACAGGCUGGUCUGGCCUAACUCUCCCUUUUAAAUUGGUUUUUAAAUUGGUUUUUAAAUGUUUUUUAGAUAAAUUGGAUGUUUUAAUUUGUUUUUUGAGCCUAAAUUAUUUAAUCUGUUUUUAAUAGUUUUUUAACUUUUAUAUGUCUUUGUAUUUUAUUUUGGCUGUUCACCGCCGUGAGUCCUUCGGGAGUAGGGCGGUAUACAAAUAUGAUAAAAUAAAAUAAAAAAUAAAAUAAAUAAAUUGUCAUCUAUUUUUAUAUCUAUCCUCACAUUGGUUAAUUAUGUAAUAUUACAUUGUUUAAUAUAAAUUCAACAUUUUAAUAUAAAUCAAUUAGUUAUAUAACUACCUUUUUUGUAUAUUAAUCAAUAUGAACAUGAAUAUUCCAAUUAUUUCCAUGCAAUCCAAUUUCUUACAAAUCAAUUAAUUAUAUUUACCAAUAAUAAUAAACCAAAUAAUUUCCCCCAUAUAUUCCUCCAAACCAUAACUUAACCAUUUCUGCUUUCAACACAAUAUACAAUUAAUAGUAUCUCAAUUAUUACAAUUCCCUAUUUAAAUAGAGCUUUUUUUCUUUUGUAUUUUAAAAUCUUGAACUCUCUUUUCCCCUAAAUUUCCCAUUGCACCUAGAAAAAAAGAAAAAGAAAUCUCUCUCUGCCUCAUUUUGCCACAUUGCAACAACAGCAAAGCCAACAGCCUGCUUUACUUUCUGUUUUGUUUUUCAGCAUAUAUAGGGGGAAAAAAAUCAGCACUCUUUGCAAGCAAGCAGCAGAGCUGUGAGCAAAACAGCUGAGAGCAAAUCAGCUGAGAGUCGGGAGGCCGAUAGAAUCAAGGGGCUAAUUAGCCUAUGCUGAAGCUCCGCGGGCCAAUAAAAUUACAAAAAAACACCAAACCCUUUGUUAAAUUGCUGGCUCGCCCACCCCUCGCUCACCACUAUUUAUUGGCAAUAAAUAGUGGUGCGGAGGGGUGGGGCAAGGGGCGGGGCGAGCCAGCAAUUUAACAAAGGGUUCGGCCGAACCCCCUAGAACCGGCAGAAUCCCACCACUGGGCUAAGAGCAAGAAAAUUGAAGAAAGAGACAGAAAGGCUAAUUCAGAUUGCACAAAUCCAAAAUUUAAGAACAAAUGCAUACAAAGUAGAACUGAGAAGACAGCAACAGAUAGCAAAUGCUGUCUCUGCAAAGAAGCUGAAGAAACAGUUAGACCACCUAGUUAGCUGCUGCAAAAAGAUCUCACAGACUGACUACAAACAACAGCUUGGCAAAGUAGCAACAAUGACGCAUUGGGGAAAUCUGCAAGGAUAUCAUUUGUCUGAGAGCAAGAACUGUUGGAACUCUAUGUACAAUAGAGAAAGUAAUAGAAAAUGAAAAAGAUAAAGUGCUCCGAGACUUUAGAAUUCAAGCACACAAGUACUUGCCACAUAACAUCCCAGGUGUAACAACUGUCGAUAAGAACAAUUUUUAAAAAGUCUGGAUAGUAGACAUGGGCAUCUGGAGACAACCAACAUAAGAGGAAAAACUGGAGAAAAUAACAAAAUACAAUCACCUGCAAAUAGAAGUAGAAUGUAAAAUGCAGCUGUUAAUGGAAUUGGAAUAAAAUACAAUUUAAAAUGAAAUUGGAAUAAAAUACAAUUUAAAAUGAAAUUGGAAUAAAAUACAAUUUAAAAUGAGAUUAAAAUGAGAUUGGAAUAAAAUAAUAAUUUAAUAUAUGAUAAAUUAUGAUAAAAUUAUAUUUUAGUGUCACCCCUACAAUCUACCCCAAUCACUCCCACAUAUGCCGAUUUCUAUCGAACCAUUUUGUUCAAGUACCGUGCUGUAUUAAAUGUUGUUUUCAAAUUCUGGCCACACAUAAGAUAAGUUGUUUUGAUAUGGGGUUCCCAAUGGAUCAUUCGUUUAGUAUAUAGACUGAGGUACCUGUCUCUUACCCUCUUAUACAGGCAAAAAUCAAAUAGGAUGUAAAUUCACCAUCAAUCAAUUACAAAAGGCAGCUUUACUUGGAACAUCUUAAAUCCUGCGAUGAUACCUCUAACACCAUCAAGCGUCCACAUCUGCCUAUCCCAAGUCCUUGGGAAGGACUCAAUAGGGGAUUAACAAUGCCAAAUCUGGUCUAAACAUCUGGCCGACUGUGAGACAAACAAUAAAUACUGAAGAUUGAUGAACCAGUAAAGUUUGUGAAGAAGGAAAAAAACCCACAAUUCUGAAAUAAUUCUUAAAGAUUAUAUUGUAGUUAAUUUGACACUCCUGGAUGAAAAAUCCCUCUGAACAUUUCUAUUUUGGAUAGAAAGCCCUUCACAAGUGCAGGCUCGGUGCAAUUGCUGACUCACUGUCAAUAAAAAAUGGCCUUGCAGA